CAAUGACAGCCCAGGCUAGUCAGGGUUGAUAAGAGUCCUGCCAGCUAGGUCAUGAUCUAUGUGGCAUUCUAUACUACAUGUGGCAUUCCUACCUCCAUAGGGUCAUGAUUCUGCUUCUCUGAGGAUCCCGACUCCCAAGGCUACUGGAGAUAACUUAGGAUGCAUCCCAGGCUCACAGACACCCUGAUUCCUCUCUCUCACCCUGGAGAACCCUGUUAGCUAAGAUACUAGGGGCUGCUGAGGGGUGGUUAGUCUAUGGCUGGCUACCUGGUUAACCCUGGGACCACAGAAUGGGCAUCAUUUGCCAGAUAUGUAGACCAGACAAGCAGGAGAGGUAAGUCCGUGGGGAGAGAAGACUGGAAACAAGCAACACAAGGAGAGAUGAGAGCAAGAAGAGGAAGGAAGACUCGAAGAGAGUGAGCCCGGGGAUCUGAAUGCAUCGAGUGGCUUUUCAGCUCCAUUUCUGAUUACUCGCCACAUUUUCAGUGUGUCUUCUCAUUAACUCUCUUCUCAACACAGGCAAGGGCAAGUUGGCUUGUGUGUCUUAGAAACCAGAACCACUUUUAGCCUGGCGUGCAGAAUUUCUCUUUCAUAUUCUGUCAGCUUGGCUCUUCCCCCAGUUACUCCACUUGUAACACUGUCCUAAAGUGCAUAUCUGGGGUCAUGUGUCUAGGAGGGUAGGUUUGGGCACCACCCACGGUGGCUGCAGGCUCCCCUGCUUGCAGGACUGGGCUCCAGAGGUUCCUGGGCUCCAGAUGGCAUGUCUUCAGACUUCAGAACUCCCCUCCAACCACCUGUGAGAAGGCAGUAGAGAGGACAAGCAAUCACAGGCUGCUCCCAUCAUCUUGGGCCUUAUAUAUGAGAUGGAACCCAUACUCAACACUGCUUAGGUGACCAAGAACCAGAGACUGGACAGCCCAGAGACAUAAGGCUCUUGUGGACUCUCUUACCAUCCUCCUUUACAACUACUGGUCUUAAAAAAAUAACAAAAUGACCCCGAAUGAUAUUCUGCUAUGCUCAUAGAUUGUUGCCUAAUUCCGAUGUCAUCAG
rnacentral:lncRNA from 1 species